GAGUGGUACCUAUUUAUCUACUCACACUUUGACGUGCUUUCAAACUGCUAGUUCAAUGCACUCAACUUCAGUGAUAAAAGCAUCAAUGCCUAGGGAGGCACCUGGAGCCAGAAAGCAUCCCCAAAGCUCAGCAUGUCCUGGACUACAUCCCAACACUGAGUUGUCUUGAUUCAGAAACGAGGCUACAUGGAAGACUUCCCCAAGCCAUGACCUUCAAAGUCAUCACCAAAUCUAUGGAACGUCCUGUCGUUUAAGCACUGGGACGCUGCAAAGGA